CAUGUACUCCCUCCGUCCGAAAAUACUUGCCAUCAAAAUGGAUAAAAGAGAUGUAUCUAGAACUAAAAUAUGUCUAGAUACAUCCCCUUUUAUCCAUUUUGAUGACAAGUAUUUCCGGACGGAGGGAGUAAUUC
rnacentral:pre_miRNA from 1 species